GUUCAAGCAGUCACUUGAAUGCCAGUUUAGAUUCAAGAGGAGAACAAUUAGACUCCACCAAUGUCAGACUGCUAAAAUGUAAAAGAAUGGCCAUCAGGAUUUUCUAGGGCAGCAUAAUUAUUCUGCGAGUAGGUAAAGGAGUUUUGAUUGAGAUGAAGAGGUCAUAGAAGUGAGAAGCACUGAAAGACACAGAGUAAGAGGAGGCUCACCGCAUGUCUACC
rnacentral:lncRNA from 1 species